CACGUAGGGGGCGAGCGUUGUCCGGAUUUACUGGGCGUAAAGAGCUCGUAGGCGGCUCGGUAAGUCAGGUGUGAAACCUCCAGGCUCAACCUGGAGACGCCACCUGAUACUGCCGUGGCUAGAGUCCGGUGGAGGAGCGUAGAAUUCCUGGUGUAGCGGUGAAAUGCGCAGAUAUCAGGAGGAAUACCAGCGGCGAAGGCGGCGCUCUGGGCCGGUACUGACGCUGAGGAGCGAAAGCGUGGGGAGCAAACAGG
rnacentral:rRNA from 1 species